GACGAACGCUGGCGGCGUGCUUAACACAUGCAAGUCGAACGAAGAGCGAUGGAAGCUUGCUUCUAUCAAUCUUAGUGGCGAACGGGUGAGUAACGCGUAAUCAACCUGCCCUUCAGAGGGGGACAACAGUUGGAAACGACUGCUAAUACCGCAUACGAUCUAACCUCGGCAUCGAGGAUAGAUGAAAGGUGGCCUCUAUUUAUAAGCUAUCACUGAAGGAGGGGAUUGCGUCUGAUUAGCUAGUUGGAGGGGUAACGGCCCACCAAGGCGAUGAUCAGUAGCCGGUCUGAGAGGAUGAACGGCCACAUUGGGACUGAGACACGGCCCAGACUCCUACGGGAGGCAGCAGUGGGGAAUCUUCCGCAAUGGACGAAAGUCUGACGGAGCAACGCCGCGUGAGUGAUGACGGCCUUCGGGUUGUAAAGCUCUGUUAAUCGGGACGAAAGGCCUUCUUGCGAAUAGUUAGAAGGAUUGACGGUACCGGAAUAGAAAGCCACGGCUAACUACGUGCCAGCAGCCGCGGUAAUACGUAGGUGGCAAGCGUUGUCCGGAAUUAUUGGGCGUAAAGCGCGCGCAGGCGGAUUGGUCA
rnacentral:rRNA from 1 species